rnacentral:piRNA from 1 species
AAGGAAGGUGGAUCUCUGUGAGU